GGGCCCGUAGCUCAGCCUGGUAGAGCGGCGGGCUCUUAACCCGUAGGUCCCGGGUUCGAAUCCCGGCGGGCCCGCCA
rnacentral:tRNA from 4 species